rnacentral:rRNA from 1 species
AGUGAACGCUGGCGGUAGGCCUAACACAUGCAAGUCGAACGGCAGCACAGUAAGAGCUUGCUCUUACGGGUGGCGAGUGGCGGACGGGUGAGGAAGACAGCGGAAUCUACUUUUUCGUGGGGGAUAACGUAGGGAAACUUACGCUAAUACCGCAUACGACCUACGGGUGAAAGCAGGGGAUCUUCGGACCUUGCGCGAUUGAAUGAGCCGAUGUCGGAUUAGCUAGUUGGCGGGGUAAAGGCCCACCAAGGCGACGAUCCGUAGCUGGUCUGAGAGGAUGAUCAGCCACACUGGAACUGAGACACGGUCCAGACUCCUACGGGAGGCAGCAGUGGGGAAUAUUGGACAAUGGGCGCAAGCCUGAUCCAGCCAUACCGCGUGGGUGAAGAAGGCCUUCGGGUUGUAAAGCCCUUUUGUUGGGAAAGAAAAGCAGCAGGUUAAUACCCCGCUGUUCUGACGGUACCCAAAGAAUAAGCACCGGCUAACUUCGUG